UUUGUAAUUGAAAAAAUGUCCUGUAACAUAAUCUUCCUUUCGAAUGUCCACAUGUAUUUUUUUACGAGAUCAUUAGCAUAGUACAUUUGUGCUUAGUAGAGGAUUUUUGUUUUUACGAUUGCGCGCAGAUUAUAUAACAGUUGUGUGUAUUCGUUAUACGGGGAACACGGGUAUAGAUUGUUCAUGAUUAAUAUAAAAAUCUCCUCUGGUUGUAAUCCACUUAAAGUUUCAUCUAACGACAGUAUGUUUAUACUUUUGUUCUGUGUGCCAUAACUAUGAAUAAAGGCAACAGUAGUAUACCGCUGUUCAAACUCAUAAAUCCAUGGACAAAAACAAAAUCGGGGUAACAAACUAAAACAGAGGGAAACGCAUAAAUAUGAGAGGAGAACAACGACACAACACUACAAUGUAACUAACACACACAGAAACGGACCAAGCAUCAGAAAAAAUCCCACGAGAAUAACAAAUAUAACAUCAAAACCAAAUACAUGAAUGUGGGAUAGACAAGUACCGUGACACGUCUUAUCGCAAUGUCAAUUUACACUCAAAAAUAAGAGAAAACAAACGACGCAACGUUAAAUUGUAACACAC
rnacentral:lncRNA from 1 species